AUGACUAAAUCUCAUCUGGUUAGAGGAAUUCAAAAUCCGUUGCCGAAAGGCGUGGCGGUUCGAGUCCGCCUACUGGUACCA
rnacentral:tRNA from 1 species